GCCAGAGCCAAAUCUCCCUGCAGCUCUCGCCUGGUUUCCCACUGAAGCUAAGCAGGGUUGAGCCCAGCCAGUACCUGGAUGGGAGAUCUAGUGGGAAAAACUAAUGUUGCUGCUGGAA
rnacentral:rRNA from 1 species